CAAGCUGUGGUUAAGGUUGGGGGGGCGAGGUCUCCUUGUUCCUAAAUGAACCAUGUACUGUCUUUGGAGCGCAAGAUUUGUUGUUAUUCACAGCGCUGUGUUACUCUUCGGAACAUUUGAGAGAGCAUCCACCAGCAACAUUAAGGACAGUAGUGACGGGCGGGAGGAGGAACGGCAGCAGAGUCUGCACAGCCUGAGGAAGCAGAGCCAAGGGCAACAGAGUCAAGGUCUGCCGUCUGACGAUGUAGCUCAGUGGUGGGGUGAGUGGAGCAGUUGGUCCACCUGCUCCAGGACCUGUGGAGGAGGUGUGCGUUCCCAGGAACGACACUGUCUGCAGCAGAGACUCACUGCCACACAAAACAUCAACAGCUCCUUUUGUGUCGGAUCUCCAAAACAGUAUCAGCUGUGUCCAUUUCAGCCCUGUCUCAGUACCAGUGUCAGCUUCAAGCAGCAACAGUGCUCCCAGUUUAAUGCCAAAGCCUUUGGCCAAAGACACUAUGAAUGGGUGCCUCUCUAUCCAGAUGACUACAUCAGUAUCUCCAACAAGCCAUGUGACCUCCAGUGCACCACCACCACAGGAGAAAGGCAGCUGCUGGUCCCAGCCCACGAUGGAACCUAUUGCCGAGAUGGCAUUUACCAGGGUGUCUGUAUUGAGGGCCAAUGUCAGACGGUGGGGUGUGACGGGAAGCUUUACUCCAGUAAAACAGUAGAUAAAUGUGGAGUGUGUGGUGGUAAUGGUGGCACCUGCUACAGAGUGUCUGGAUCCUACCGGAAAGGGAUCACACAGUUAGGUUAUAUGUUCAUCACCAAUAUUCCUGUUGGUGCCACAGACAUCCAAAUAAUUGAAAGACGGAAAACAGAAAAUAUACUGGCCUUAUCUGAUGAGGCUGGUCAUUUCUUCUUCAAUGGAAAUACAAUUAUCGACAAUCCUCGUAACUUCCGUGUUGCUGCCACAGUCUUCAAGUACAGGAGACCCGCAAAUCUUUUUUCUGAUGGAUUUGAGUAUAUAAUCGCUCAAGGACCCACUGACCAGGGGCUAAAUGUCAUGUACUACAACCUGAAUGGCAAGAUACCUCACAUCACCUUUGAAUACACUGUACCUCGCACCACAGAGGCCCUUACAACCCCCCGAAAUGCUCCAUCUCCAGAAGAAAUACAGAUACGAACAUUGUCCAUGAUUUCCCCACCUCAGGAUAUAAUGAUCCCAGAAACUAAAUCCAAUGACUCCACAAAAGCACUCUCCUACACCGAUAAUGAGAUUGAAGCCAGUGAGGACUAUGGGAAGCUGGGAAACCAUAGUGGUCUUCUGGUCCCGAACGAGCCCCAAGAGUUAAACCAUGAUCUGGAUCAUGACGGUCUUUUAUGGGAACUACAGGCUCCUCUCAACCUCAGUCACCCACCAUCCAUGCUGUUGUAUAGACCAGUCGGUGAGAUUUACCACAACAACCUGGAGAACAAACUGGGAGACCCAGGACAUCCUCCAUCAGCUAACUACAGGACAGACUCAAACUUGAUCGACAGUGACUCUUCUAGUCCAAAUGGCACCCACCUACCAGCAAAGCCUCUCCAACAGAGCUUUUUCAUGGAUCUCCUUUCUGAAACCAGAGGCCCCAGACAACCUUGCCAUGAAGGCUCCAAUCUCUGCCCAGUCCUAGAUAUCAAUUCCACCACCUCCUUGGACAACAGCCUGGCCCAUCUGGAGAUCUACCCUGGCAGCCUCAAACUUCAGAGUGGCAUGGCCGAGGACACCGACACCUAUGGACUCCUCUUCAAACCAGAGCCCAAUGGGACAGAGAGUUCCAACCUUCUCAACCUCCACCAGGUGGAGCCAGUACAGACUUCCAACACAGAGAGCAGCAAUGAGUUUGAGGUGGGAUCGCUAGACCAUGACAUCAGCCUUGCUGACAUGUACAGAUGGAAGUUAUCUGCGAAUGCACCCUGCAGUUCAACAUGUACCACAGGUAUCAGUACGUCUUAUGCACUGUGUGUCCGUUAUGAUGGCUCUGAGGUGGACGACACUUAUUGUGAUGCUGUGACCAGACCUGAACCAACACAUGAAUUUUGCACUGGGAAAGAGUGUCCACCAAGAUGGGAGACCAGUCGGUGGAGUGAGUGUUCGCGAACAUGCGGUGAGGGCUAUCAGUUCCGUACGGUUCGCUGCUGGAAAAUGAUGGCACCAGGCUUUGACAGCUCUGUGUAUGACGAGAUGUGUGUUGCUGCAGAGCUGCAGAAGCCCAUGACUCAUAAGGCCUGCAAGACCAAAGGCUGCGGCCCACAGUGGGAGGUCUCUGACUGGUCUGAGUGUUCGGCCCGUUGUGAGGGGCGUGGUUUGAGGACUCGGGAGGUGCGCUGCUCCAUGGAGAGACAUCUUUGUAACGACUCAACUCGACCACUUAGUGAGAAAGAGUGUGAGGGCCCGGCCUGUGACCGCCGGUGGACUGUUUCUGACUGGGGCCCUUGUUCAGGAGCCUGUGGAGAGGGCAGGAUGACGCGCUAUGUGGCGUGUAAAAACAGCAAUGGCAAAGUGAUUUCAGACAGCCAGUGUGACCUGGAAUUCAAGCCCUUGGCUGUGUACCCCUGUGGGGACAAGAACUGCCCCGCACAUUGGGUUGAACAGGAAUGGGAACAGUGUAAUGCCACCUGUGGGCGGGGGGUGAAAACACGUCAAGUGGUGUGUUCUGGCCUGGAGGGCGGCAUGUUCAAGGAGUUUCCUGAGCAGAUAUGUGACGCCACCUUCAAACCUGAAGAGAGCUCCGCAUGCUUCGAGAGGCCCUGCACCAAGUGGUUCACAACUUCCUGGUCUCAGUGCAGUAAGACGUGUGGCAGCGGAGUGCGUAUUCGGGAGAUAAAGUGCUACCAAGGAGAGGAGCUCAGCCACAGCUGUGACUCUGCCAUUAAACCUGAGGCCAGGCAGUCAUGUGAGGUGCAGGUCUGUCCAACAGAAGCCCCAGUUGAAGAGGCAUGUCAGGACAAGGCAACGGCCAACUGUGCCCUAGUGCUGAAGGUGAAACUGUGUACACACUGGUAUUACAGGAAGGCUUGCUGUCAGUCCUGUAAGAGCAAGGCCCUGUAACAGCCAGGGGAUACACAUGCCAGGGGUCCGCACUCACUAUGGCCCCCAACAGAAUGUGAAGACAGUCCCCAUACAUGACGCACUGCACUGUGCACUGGACUAUUUUCUUGUAUAUUGUAUUGUAGAGUCCAGCUUACCAUAAAUUGUAUGGGCUGCAGCCAACUCCAUUGACUUUUUUCCAUGCUAAGUGCAUUUUGAAAUGAUAAAAGAAAACACCAACAUUGCAGUGAAGGGGUUGGCUUAAAGCACAUACAGAUGGGUGGAAGCUCAAAUUUGCCCCAGUCUUUCUUUCAUCCCUAACCCCAACCAAACUCUCCCCUCACUCAUUAAAAAACCUUGUGAGUUAGAUUUACAACAAUCAAAAUUGUUAUAAUACUCUGGGUGUCAGCCACUAACUACUCAGUAACUUCACACUAACCGCCCAGUUAAUGUGAAAGGCAGCUCCUGUUACAUGACUUCACACUGAGAUGGAUCCCCAGCUUUAUGGUCAACAGAGCUUUAUGGCUCAAUACAUUAUCUCUCCAUCUCUACUGUAGAAGCCCUUUUCUCUUUAAAAACUUGUACUGUACAGAGUUGAUGUUCAAAAUGUGUACUUUAUUGCUGAUGUUGUUCGGAGAUGAAAAUAAAGCCAAACUCGUUUGAAAUUUUCACUGCCCCUUGUUGU